AAGGACUGAAUUGCUCUCCCACCGUUCUGUCCCCAGCAUCAUCCUGUGUGACUGACCACAGGACACUGAGGCCUGUUCGCAGACACGGGGAGCCUCACCGCCCUCACGGGGCUCCUCCUUGGGGACGUCUCCCACUCCCGGGAUCUCCAGGGUCUGCAAGGACAAAGACUAAGAACAUGGAACUAAGAUGGUUGAAUUCAGUCACUGACCUUCCUGCACAUGGAAGCUGGGCGGCAUGUGAUGGGGUGAGGCACAGGGAGUCCAGAUUUGGGGCCAGGAGAAGCUCGUCAAGAUGAUUGAGUCAUCUCAGGAAUACUCUGAAAAACCUUAUUUUAGAAAUAAUAUGCAACAUAGUCAUUUUUUCCCCACAAUAUUUAGGCAUGGAAGUAAUACAUAUUAAUUGAAAAUUUGAAGGAUAAAAAGAAGGUAUAGACUUUAAUGGCGACCCAUAAGGCAGAU